rnacentral:misc_RNA from 1 species
AAAAAAUAUUAAAAGAAAUAGAAUAAUAUAUCCUCUCAACUUAUAGACAAGCAAGUGAAUCUUGUAGAUUCUAGGUUAAACAAAGAAAGUUAUAUAGGGUAGAAAAAGAUUAAAAGAGCAAUAAAUAUAAGCCUUCCUCAUAAAGAUCAAAGAACCUAUAGUCUGUCUUUUCUUUCUAUUCCUCAUCAUCUUCUCUGCAUACAUAGAAUAACUAACCUAUAUAUAAGGUAAAAAUGGAUAUAUUAUAGUACGUGGUUGUUGUUGAGAGCAGCCAGCAGAUGGUCAUGGGAUUCAGAGAACCUUUUUUGGAGCUGAAAUAGUAAGGCUUGGUUCUCUUGGUGGAGAAGAAGAGCUUUCUUUCUUAGCUUCUCAUUCUCUUCUAUGAUGCUUUUGUUCUUCAUGUACAGUUUCAAGUUCUUGAUUUCCAUCUUUUUCUUUACGAAAGCCAUCUUCUUCUCCUUUGCUUGUUUUAACGAUCUUCUCCUCCUGCUAAAUCACAGUAUGAAACAAUAAUAACUUUGAGAUAAUUAAAGAGAGAGGGAGAUAUAGGGAGAUGAGAUGUGUAGUGCUGCAGAAACUAAUUAACCUGCUUAUUAACCGGCGAUAUGGGAGGUUGCUUCGUCUUGAUGACUUACGAUUGUUAAAAGCAAUAUACAAGUGACUGCAUGGGCUCAGUUUUGAAGAGUUCGUAUACAUUUUUGCUUCCCUCUGAACUUAACGCUUGUUGUCUCUG